CAACGUUUGUUUUUCUCCGUUUAUGCGUUGUGUGUUCGUUUGAAUGAAAACGUCGCGAGUGUUGUAACAAAAACCACGGAAAACAGAAGAAGAAUACGGGAGCAAAAGGAAUUCCAGGCUACAGCAGAAUGCCCAUUGCCCAACAGGGUUUCGUUCCAUGGUAUUUCAACGAGGCCACUGCAAUGAGAAAAGAAUUCCUGAAGCCAAAGAAAAUGAUACACCCAAAUAGCAGAAAGUCUAUCGCUAUUACGAAAAAAGCCAAAAAAAUAUCAAAUAGACAGAAGGCAGAAAUGU